AUCUUUAUCGUUUGCAUAUGGAGGGUGUUUUGCAUGAGCUGUGCUUUAUAUCUCUAUGAACUGAACAUGACUUGAUCAAGAGCUCUUCUUCAUCAACCAACAAACAUGACUUUCACUAUCGUCUUUGUCUGGAUUCUGGCAGUGUUUUGUCAAGAAUCCAUCGGGCAGGUGACAGUGACUCAAACUCCCUCACAGCUGCUCGCUCAAACUGGAGAAGUCAAAAUAAAGUGCACAACUAGCAGCAAUGUUGCCUGUUGUUGUGGUGGUACUGCAUGUAUUAGCUGGUAUCUACAGAAACAUGGAGAAGCUCCUAAACUCCUUAUUUAUGGAGGGAAUCAACGACAGUCAGGAACUCCUUCUAGAUUCAGUAGCAGUGGAUCUGGCAGUGAUUUCACUCUGACCAUCAGGGGAGUCCAGACUGAAGAUACAGGAGAUUAUUACUGUCAGAGUUACCACAGUGGUGGUGUGUUCACACAGUGAUAAAGAGUCGUGCAAAAACCUCCGUCAGUCAGAGUCACAGUGACUGCACUGAUACAG